AAGUUCGGUGGGCUCAGGUUUCGAACUGGCAGGAUGCUUUACACAUGCAAGUCGAACGGCAGCACGGGCUGGUCUGGUGGCGAGUGGCGAACGGGUGAGUAAUGUAUCGGAACGUGCCUAGUAGCGGGGGAUAACUACGCGAAAGCGUAGCUAAUGCCGCAUACGCCCUUCGGGGAAAGCGGGGGACCUUCGGGCUCGCUUUAUUAGAGCGGCCGAUAUCGGAUUAGCUAGUUGGUGGGGAGUAACGGCUCACCAAGGCGACGAUCCGUAGCUGGUUUGAGACGACCAGCCACACUGGGACUGGUUCACGGCCCAGACUCCUACGGGAGGCAGCAGUGGGAGGUACGCGGACAAUGGGGGAGACCCUGAUCCAGCCAUCCCGCGUGUGCGACAGGCCGCUCGGGUUGUAAAGCACUUUGGCGGAAAGAAACGGCACGGGAUAAUACCCGUACAAUCACCACAAGUCAGCGCAGCUAACUGCGUUGCCAGCAGCCGCGGUAAUACGUAGGGUGCAAGCGUUAAUCGGAAUUACUAGAUAAAGCGUGCGCAGGCGGUUCAGAAGAAAGAUGUGAAAUCCCAGAGCUUAACUUUGGAACUGCAUUUUUAACUACCGAGCUAGAGUGUGUCAGAGGAGGUGGAAUUCCGCGUGUAGCAGUGAAAUGCGUAGAUAUGGGAGGAACACCGAUGGCGAAGGCAGCCUCCUGGGAUAACACUGACGCUCAUGCACGAAAGCGUGGGAGCAAACAGGAUUAAGAUACCUGGUAGUCCACGCCCUAAACGAUGUCAACUAGCUGUUGGGGCCUUCGGGCCUUGGUAGCGCAGCUAACGCGCGUGAAGUUGACCGCCUGGGAAGUACGGUCGCAAGAUUAAAACUCAAAGGAAUUGACGGGGACGCACAAGCGGUGGAUGAUGUGGAUUAAUUCGAUGCAACACAUGAAAAACCUUACCUACCACUUGACAUGUCUGGAAUCGAAGAGAUUUGGGAGUGCUCGCAAGAGAACCGGAACACAGGUGCUGUGGCUGUCGUCAGCUCGUGUCGUGAGAUGUUGGGUUAAGUCCGCAACGAGCGCAACCCUUGUCAUUAGUUGCUACGAAAGGGCACUCUAAUGGGAACGCCGGUGACAAACCGGAGGAAGGUGGGGAUGACGUCAAGUCCUCAUGGCCCUUAUGGGUAGGGCUUCACACGUCAUGCAAUGGUCGGGACAGAGGGUCGCCAACCCGCGAGGAGGGAACCAAUCCCAGAAACCCGAUCGUAGUCCGGACCACAGUCUGCAACUCGACUGCGUGAAGUCGAGAUCGCUAGUAAUCGCGGAUCAGCAUGUCGCGGUGAAUACGUUCUCGGGUCUUAUACACACCGCCCGUCACACCAUGGAGUGGGUUUUACCAAGUAGUUAGCCUAACCGUAGGAGGCGAUUACCACAGUAGGAUUCAUGACUGGGGUGAAGUCGUAACAAAGGUA
rnacentral:rRNA from 1 species